GACGAACGCUGGCGGCGUGCUUAACACAUGCAAGUCGAACGGAAAGGCCUGCUUUCCCUUGUGGAUUGCGGGUACUCGAGUGGCGAACGGGUGAGUAACACGUGAGUGAUCUGCCCCCAACUUGGGUAUAAGCCUGGGAAACUGGGUCUAAUUCCCGAUAGGACUGCAGGGUGGUGCCUGUGGUGGAAAACGAUUUUCUAGUGGUUGGGGAUGAGCUCGCGGCCUAUCAGCUUGUUGGUGGGGUAAUGGCCUACCAAGGCGGCGACGGGUAGCCGGCCUGAGAGGGUGGACGGCCACAUUGGGACUGAGAUACGGCCCAGACUCCUACGGGAGGCAGCAGUGGGGAAUAUUGCACAAUGGGCGGAAGCCUGAUGCAGCGACGCCGCGUGGGGGAUGACGGCCUUCGGGUUGUAAACUCCUUUCGACCGCGAGGAAGCCACCUGGUUGGAAGGGUGGUGACGGUAGUGGUAGAAGAAGCACCGACUAACUACGUG
rnacentral:rRNA from 1 species